rnacentral:rRNA from 1 species
GAUGAACGCUGGCGGCGUGCUUAACACAUGCAAGUCGAACGAAGCACUUUAUUUGAUUUCCUUCGGGACUGAUUAUUUUGUGACUGAGUGGCGGACGGGUGAGUAACGCGUGGGUAACCUGCCUUGUACAGGGGGAUAACAGUUGGAAACGGCUGCUAAUACCGCAUAAGCGCACGGCAUCGCAUGAUGCAGUGUGAAAAACUCCGGUGGUAUAAGAUGGACCCGCGUUGGAUUAGCUAGUUGGUGAGGUAACGGCCCACCAAGGCGACGAUCCAUAGCCGACAUGAGAGGGUGACCGGCCACAUUGGGACUGAGACACGGCCCAAACUCCUACGGGAGGCAGCAGGGGGGAAUAUUGCACAAUGGGCGAAAGCCUGAUGCAGCGACGCCGCGUGAGCGAAGAAGUAUUUCGGUAUGUAAAGCUCUAUCAGCAGGGAAGAUAAUGACGGUACCUGACUAAGAAGCACCGGCUAAAUACGU